CACAGAGACCCACCUGCCUUUUCCUCAGGAGUGCUAGGAUUAAAGUCACCAUGCCUGGCUCUGUGGCUGUUUUUUUAAUUUAAGGAAACCUAGCCGUUAAAGGCUGCUGUGGCUCCUCUUUACUCUGACUACAGGAUCCUGCUCUGUGGAGGACUGACGGGAGUUAGUGCACUUCCAAGCAACAGGGAACAGCUUUAGUCUGGGUGGCCAACAUACAACAUUCUCUACAUCCAGGAGUCUCUUCAAACCUUGAAACCUUCAUGUUGGCUACAGAACAUCUCUGGGGUAGCUGGAAGCAACUGCUUCCCAACGUACCCCAUCAUGACCCAGGGGUGAUAACCAUGGGAACAGAAUGAACAUCAGGGUAGCUUGUAAAUUCAUCAACAGGUCCAGCUUUUGUAAGCAGGGCAUGAGUUAAUAAGAUAAAGGAAUCUCACAAUUG